UACGAACCGUACGAACGUUAUUCGGAAUCACUGGGCUUAAAGGGUGCGUAGGCGGCGCUGAAAGUUGGGUGUGAAAUCCCUCGGCUUAACCGAGGAACUGCGCCCAAAACUACAGUGCUUGAGGGAGAUAGAGGUGAGCGGAACUUAGGGUGGAGCGGUGAAAUGCGUUGAUAUCCUAAGGAACGCCAGGGGCGAAAGCGGCUCACUGGGUCUCUUCUGACGCUGAGGCACGAAAGCUAGGGUAGCGAACGGG
rnacentral:rRNA from 1 species